rnacentral:rRNA from 1 species
GGAAUAUUGGACAAUGGGGGCAACCCUGAUCCAGCCAUGCCGCGUGAGUGAAGAAGGCCUUCGGGUUGUAAAGCUCUUUCGACGGGGACGAUGAUGACGGUACCCGUAUAAGACGCCCCGGCUAACUUCGUGCCAGCAGCCGCGGUAAUACGAAGGGGGCUAGCGUUGUUCGGAAUUACUGGGCGUAAAGCGCGCGUGGGCGGUGUUCUAUGUCAGAGGUGAAAUCCCGGGGCUCAACUCCGGAAUUGCCUUUGAAACGGGGACACUUGAGUCCGAGAGAGGAUGGCGGAAUUCCUAGUGUAGAGGUGAAAUUCGUAGAUAUUAGGAAGAACACCGGUGGCGAAGGCGGCCAUCUGGCUCGGUACUGACGCUCAGACGCGAAAGCGUGGGGAGCA